GAAAACAAAACAAAAGAAAACAAAAGAAUUCGAAAAUCAAAAGAUAAAUUUCGAAACAAAUUAAAUACAAAAUCAUACAUGACACCAAUCUUUAAGAUUACAAAGUCAUACAAGCUUAUUCUCGAGUUGCUACUAAAACACUUAAAUAAAUAAUGAUUCUAGAUGGUAAGACACGGUGGACGUGCGGCCUGGAUAUAGAUGUUUUGAUCACAAGCUUGAAACGUUGUUUCUAAAGGUCAAUAGCUCAAUCCAGAGAUAGUGAACAUGGUAGGACUCGUUUAGUGAGCAAUGAGAACUCCAUCACCGAUAUGUAUGUUUUCAAGGCUCUUGAGAUCAAAUUUUGGUCCCAUGCACCAGAGUAAUAGAAGGAGCGUACCAAUGUACUCAGCUAGCAACAAACUUAUGAACCAAACAUGACUCCA
rnacentral:lncRNA from 1 species